rnacentral:lncRNA from 10 species
AAUCCAAAACAUAAUACACAAAUAAUUUCCCCUUGUUAAUGUUGCCUCCUCUUAGCAUCAGUAAAAGUUUUGACCCAACACAGCUCUAUAACUUACAUUUUAUGGGGCACUACUGGUAUGCUUUUGGUUACAGGAUUGUUAAAAGGAAAUCUGGCUGUAAGUUCCAGCUGUGUGACCUAGAGCUAGUCAUUUAAAUUCUCUAAUCAUUCAUUUCCUCAUCUGUUCAAUAAAGAUAAGGCUCCUUUCUUAGUGCAGCUGGAAGAAUUAAAUGAAAAAUUGCAUGUACUUUAUCAAACCACAGAGAAGCAUGCGAAGGUGAAGAGUGGUAUUGCUUGUAGCAGACCAUAAGACAGGACAAUUAAACUAAGCUCAAGAGCUAAGGAGGAAGGUUCCAGAGCGGUCUUUCCUUUCAUUCUGAUGGUGUUUCUCUCCCCUCUGUACCACCAGAACAAUGUUCCAUGUGCCUUCGAACAUGAAGGAUGACAUUACAUAACACUAAUAUGUAUUACAUUUAAAAGUUUAAAAUGUUUAUUCUCAUGUUUGCUACACACAAUGUGGACACUUGCUUGGACUGACAAAGUCUUCAUAUCACCUAGAAAAUUAUAAUGAACAGGGACUAAUUACUACAAUUG